UACGAGGGGGGCGAGCCGUUGUUCGGAAUUAUUGGGCGUAAAGGGUGCGUAGGCGGCCUGACAAGUCUGAUGUGAAAUCCCUGGGCUCAACCCAGGGCCUGCAUCGGAAACUGUCGGGCUUGAGUAUGGGAGAGGUGAGUGGAAUUUCCGGGUGUAGCGGUGAAAUGCGUAGAUAUCGGAAGGAACACCUGUGGCGAAAGCGGC
rnacentral:rRNA from 1 species